AAUUAAUGAGCUUGAACAAGCAUAUGCUUUGAAAGCAUAAGAUAAUAGUAAAUCCUAUUAUUAAUUU
rnacentral:tRNA from 1 species